rnacentral:rRNA from 1 species
CGAAAGUAAAAUUUCGUGGAGGUCCGAACCCACGAGCGUUGAAAAGCUCGGGGAUGACUUGUGGGUAGCGGUGAAAUUCCAAUCGAGCCCGGAGAUAGCUGGUUCUCCCCGAAAUAGCUUUAGGGCUAGCCUCAAGGUGAGAGAUACGGAGGUAGAGCACUGAAUGUCCUAGGGGGUAUUGCACCUACCGAAGACUAUCAAACUCCGAAUGCCGUCAUCUUAUACUUGGGAGUCAGACUGUGGGUGAUAAGAUUCAUAGUCGAAAGGGCAACAGCCCAGAUCGUCAGCUAAGGUCCCUAAAUGUAAGUUAAGUGGUAAAGGAUGUGGGAUUGCACAGACAACCAGGAUGUUGGCUUAGAAGCAGCCACUCAUUCAAAGAGUGCGUAAUAGCUCACUGGUCGAGUGAUCCUGCGCCGAAGAUUUCCGGGGCUAAAACUUACUACCGAAGCUACGGCAUCAGUAAUGAUGGGUAGGGGAGCUUCCCAUACGGGUUGAAGCAUGACCGUAAGGACAUGUGGACAGUAUGGGAGUGAGAAUGUUGGCAUGAGUAGCGAGAUGUGGGUGAGAAUCCCACAGGCCGUAAACCCAAGGUUUCCAGGGGAAGGUUCGUCCGCCCUGGGUUAGUCGGGACCUAAGCUGAGGCCGAAAGGCGUAGGUGAUGGACAACAGGUUGAUAUUCCUGUACUACCGAUAACCGUUUGAGAGAUGGGAUGACACAGUAGGAUAAGCUAAGCACACUGUUGGUUAUGUGUGCCCAAGCAUUGAGGCAGUCAAAGUAGGUAAAUC